UACGUAGGGGGCUAGCGUUGUCCGGAAUCACUGGGCGUAAAGCGAGCGCAGGCGGUUCCUUAAGUCUGAUGUGAAAGCCCCCGGCUCAACCGGGGAAGGUCAUUGGAAACUGGGGAACUUGAGUGCAGAAGAGGAGAGUGGAAUUCCAUGUGUAGCGGUGAAAUGCGUGGAUAUAUGGAGGAACACCGGUGGCGAAAGCGGCUCUCUAGUCUGUAACUGACGCUGAGGCUCGAAAGCGUGGGGAGCGAACAGG
rnacentral:rRNA from 1 species